rnacentral:lncRNA from 1 species
AGUCAUAUAGAAUCAAUGGAUUCAUGAUAAAGUAAAAUCCCUCGAUGACAUAUUUUAUCACAAUUAAUAUUUUUUGGCUGAUAGAGGGAUCAAAUGGAAAAAUCCAAACCAAACUCUACAAUACCCAGAACUCAAUCUAUUUUUAACCUAGAAUGCAAACCGUGAACAUUCAGUGAUUUGAACCAAAUUAUUAGGACCAGAAGAACAGAAUCCAAGCAGAAUUUUUAGUAAUUUUUUUGAAAAUGCCAGGAAUUCAAGGCUGUUUUAGUAUUUUUUAAAGAAGAGGCAGCCGUUUCAGUUUUGGAUGAUUUCUAUCUCUUAAAAUCUGACUUGAAUGUCAAGUAAAUGUGCCUUUAUAGGUAAGACAUUAGGGUUUCUUAAAGGUAUCGGUUUUUGCACUUUGAACCAUUUGAUAUUUUUAUUUUAGCUUAGGUACCAUUAGUUUAAUUUUCAGAACUUCAAUCUAGUCCCUACCCCAACUUCCUAGAAGCUUCCUCAAUCAUUUUUCAAAGAUUCUCUAAGCCAAUUUUUCCUAAGCUAACCCUUAAACCCGCUAUUUUUACUUCAGGAACCAAAUGGGUCAAAUUGACCCAAGGUUAAAACUGACACGGGUCUGCAAAAUCUGGGCUAAUCCCUUUUCCCCUUGAUCUUCUGCUUUAACAAAGCCUCAAUUAAAGAAAUUAGAAAAAACCCAAAACCCACAAAUGUUAACUUACAAGGUCAUAAGGACUCGUGAAAUCUUGGGCCUAAAGAGGAAAUAGAGACAGAACUACAUUCGAACAACAAAACGAAAAUGGGCUAAUUAGAGAUACAUGCUUAAAACUAACAUGCAUACAAGAUGUCUUGAAGAACUAGAAAAAUAAGAAAAAAUCAGAAAGAAGAGAAGGAAGCAGAAGAGAUGACGAGUAAAAAGUGAAAAAUGAAGAAAAGUGAAGCAACAGAAAGAGGAAAAAUACCUAAAAGAAAUGGUUGGACAGCGGAAUUGAAAAAUCUUCAAAGUCUUUCAAUUUCUUGACCAAGCUGGACAUUAACCAGGUGUUCCCACCGGGAACACACGAAUAACAUCAAAUUUGACCCUAAAUCUUUCUUGACCUUUCACGAUUUGGAAGUUUUGGGAUUUUAAGAUUUAGGCUCAGUUUUAAGAUCGAAUAUUCGAGAGCUUCUGAAAGGACUUGGAGGAAACCAAGCAGGAAUUGGAGAGGGGAAGUCAUGUGGGGUGUUGUGGUGUGGAUUUGGGGUCGGUUGGAGGUGGUGCCGCCGGCUUGUGCGGUGAGGAAACAGAGGCGACACUAGGGUUCAUUUGAUCACUGAAUGGAGAGAAUGAGAGAGAUGGAACUGGGGUAGGGUGGUGAUGUUCGUACAUCUAUAUGGCAAAUGAUAAAGCAGUUUCGAGCCAUUGGAUGAUAGGAAUCCAACGAUUGUGAUCAACAGAAUAAAAAUGGGAUCGUUUGGUUUAUUUGAAUGCACGGACCAGGUUUAGGCAUUUUGG